AGGUCCCGUAGCUCAGUUGGUUAGAGCGUUGGUCUUAUGAGCCGAAGGUCGCGGGUUCGAGCCCCGCCGGGACCAAUAAUGCUAAUGCCGGCACCAAUUAUUUGGUUAAUUUCAGUGUCAGUCAUUAAGAACGAUUAUUAAGACUAAUGACAGAAUCUGUAAGUCAAAAGGUCCCGUAGCUCAGUUGGUUAGAGCGUUGGUCUUAUGAGCCGAAGGUCGCGGGUUCGAGCCCCGCCGGGACCAAU
rnacentral:tRNA from 1 species